rnacentral:rRNA from 1 species
UACGUAGGUGGCAAGCGUUGUCCGGAGCUAUUGGGCGUAAAGCGCGCGCAGGCGGUUGUCUAAGUCUGCUGUGAAAUCUCCCGGCUCAACUGGGAGGGGGCGGCGGAGACUGGGCGACUGGAGGGACCUAGAGGCCGGUGGAAUUCCCGGUGUAGUGGUGAAAUGCGUAGAGAUCGGGAGGAACACCUGUGGCGAAGGCGGCCGGCUGGGGGUACCCUGACGCUGAGGCGCGACAGCGUGGGGAGCGAACCGG